rnacentral:rRNA from 1 species
UACGUAGGGGGCAAGCGUUGUCCGGAAUCAUUGGGCGUAAAGAGCGUGUAGGCGGUCCGGUAAGUCGGCUGUGAAAGUCCAGGGCUCAACCCUGGGAUACCGGUCGAUACUGCCGGACUAGAGUCCGGAAGAGGCAAGUGGAAUUCCUGGUGUAGCGGUGGAAUGCGCAGAUAUCAGGAGGAACACCAAAGGCGAAGGCAGCUCGCUGGGACGGUACUGACGCUGAGGUGCGAAAGCGUGGGGAGCGAACGGG